UGCAGGAAAUUCUGAGAAUAUAGAGUUUUCAAGCGCUGUACUCAACAACCGCAAUGUCUGUGUUGAGUUUUCAACACUCGAGACUGAGUAGUUUUGUUAAGCUCGAGUGCCAGAGUGGGACAGACACGAGGAGUUAUAGAUGUAGUUAUGGUUACACUAACAGUCAGUUCUUGCCGUUUGACAUCACAACGAAUAUCACGAAGAAUAAAAAGUUGAUUAAUUUGUUCCAUUCUUUAUGGGACAAACAUACAUUCAGCGAGGAACAGGAGAAAAUCAAGGAAAUUUGUUACAAUUGAAGCAAUUUAUUCACAUGUGUAAGCUUUCCAAGCGGGAUACUUUUGCUGUCUAUAGUUUGGACAGUAGUAGAGUUUCAAACGCGCUUUUGACGCUGUUGCUGACAAAGAAAGGCAGUAACUACUUCAUUGUGAACUCCCAAGACACGAUACACCCAUGGGGUUUGCCUCAAAUAUGAAUUCCGCCCAAUAUUGUAAACAAGGUGCUAAAAGUAAACACGUCCGGUUUUGUUACGAGCACUUCGCACUCCAAGCCCAAAGCACAUAGAAUCAACGCUAGAAAAGGCUUAGAAAAUGACAGCAGUUUUGUUGUGUGAUCCAGUAAGGACUUCGACUCUGAACCCGACGUUGAUGAGACCUCAAACUUGACCAUAGCACUCACAGCGAGGCCAACAUGUUAUCUCAGCUUCUUGAGCUUCAGCAAACAUUAUUAGCAAACAAGAUGAAAACAUCAUUGAAGUGAAAGUCAAAGACAAUCCUGACUCCCUUCGGGCACAAAUAUUACAACUUGCUGAAGAAAUUCAGCACGAAGAUGUCUUGCGUCAGCCUAGCACGCCUCCUAUCAACUCUGAUAGCUGAGCCUUGGUGAGUUUGACUUUUGUCUAAGAUUCGAUGUCGCUUAGCAACAAUUAGAUGCUGGCAUCAACAAAUUGUUCCGCACAAGUCGCUCGAACGUAAACAAUCUGAUCCAACAGAUAGAGCAGGCGUUGCGAGACUCGUCUGUUGAUGUGACUGACCUUGAUAUGUUGCUUUCGAAUAAUGUGAACCUUAUGCCUGAAGAGCAGAUUGACGCCAUUCAACAAAACAAGUCGGGAAUUCCCGGGUUUGGGGUGGUGACUUUGUCGUCGGGACUCUCUUUCUAUUGCCUGGUCGCAGAGGCAGCAGCAACAAAAACAACAAAGCUAGUUCCUAGCAAUCAUAGAACGGUACCCUGCUGAAAAACAGGAUCUCUGGUCAGCUGGGCCCAGAUGCCCAGCAACACUUCCUGGCCCAGGACCUUGGGGCAAAUGCUCAACAUGUCUUAUCUGCAUGGUGAAGCCAGUCUAAUUCUUGGGCUCCAAACUCUCCUGUUGUGGGGCCGAGAUUACCUCAUCCAUAAGAAUGCAAUGAAUUAUUUGGUUGACAGGGACACAUUACUAGGAUGCGCUAAGGUCCUUUUAUCUGUUCACAGAGGCCUUAUACUCACAAGUUCAGGCCCAACUACAACACAAUCAGUACGUCUCAAUAGAGGACACCCUUCCUGAAAACCUCGCUGAGUGCGACUGCGCCAUACGUGACCCUUCAGUGAAAUAAGAUUCCAGACGGAAUGUCAAACCUGUACUACUCAGGUCUCCAGCAAUAGCCUCAGCCUUGACCGCAGGUCAAGGGUCACCCCGCAACGUUUAGUGCCUAGCGAUGAAAUCAUCCACCGUUACAUGUAGUUGGUUGAGGGUCGCCCAAAACCACCCAGUGCCUUGCGAUGAAAACCUCUUACGGGACUGUGACCUUGCCCUUGGACUCACCUAAUGGUCAGGUUGACGAUCACUUGGGCUUAGAUAGUCACUGCAGUAAGAAAGUGUAAGAUUUUAAAGAAGAUGACUUCACAACAUGACAUCCGAGACUGCAGGGAAAAAGAAAAGAAGAUGACUUCACAACAUGACAUCCGAGACUGCAAAUACGAAAUAAGUGUCCUCACUUCAGCAGUGGAAGCCAAUACACAAUACGAGAGUUUCCAGCGGCUUACCUUAUCUGAAAACCUGGGUAGCAGAGCAAUGAGUAUGUCCCAGGAGCAUUUUCAGUCAUCGUCUGCAGAUUAUGAGAUCCCCAUGCUCCACAACCCUCAGUCUAUGAACAUCAUGCAUAGCGAACCUUGGACGUUCCUUGACGAAAUCAAACCAGCAAAUCAGGAGGACAGCCUGUUGCUACCGUUGUUAUCAUAUUAACCCCAUACCGAAGAAGCUCAGAGAUAUAAAUGCUGUUUAAGAUGUGCUAGUCUCUGCAUACCCCAUGUCUGGCGUGAACAUGUACAAUUGAAGGUCUCUACAUACCCCAUGUCUGGUGUGAACAUGUACAACUGAAGAUCUCUACAUACCCCAUGUCUGGUGUGAACAUGUACAAUUGAAGGUCUCUACAUACCCCAUGUCUGGUGUGAACAUGUACAGUUGAAGGUCUCUAUAUACCCCAUGUCUGGUGUGAACAUGUACAAUUGAAGGUCUCUACAUACCCCAUGUCUGGUGUGAACAUGUACAGUUGAAGGUCUCUAUAUACCCCAUGUCUGGUGUGAACAUGUACAAUUGAAGGUCUCUACAUACCUCAUGUCUGGUGUGAACAUGUACAAUUGAAGGUCUCUACAUACCCCAUGUCUGGUGUGAACAUGUACAAUUGAAGGUCUCUACAUACCCCAUGUCUGGUGUGAACAUGUACAACUGAAGAUCUCUACAUACCCCAUGUCUGGUGUGAACAUGUACAAUUGAAUGGCUCUCUAUAUACCUCAUGUCUGGUGUGAACAUGUACAAUUGAAGGUCUCUACAUACCACAUGUCUGGUGUGAACAUGAACAAUUAAAGGUCUCUACGUACCCCAUGUCCGGUGUGAACAUGUACAAUUGAAGGUCUCAUCUUUGAAAUUGGGACAGGUGGAAAAUUGAUGCAUUGAUGCAGACAGAAGUCGCAUAAUGACAAAUCACAACAAAAAGUGGAAAUCCAGACAGUCUUGUAGCCAGCCAUGUUUUUAUGUGACCAUCCAAGUUGUGUUAAAAGAAAACAAUAGUUCAUGUUUUAUUGGAACUAUGAUGCUGAUAGUCAUUUUAUGUAAAAGGCUUUUAUGAACUAUAUUUAAAUACUCAGUAUAAUAAGAUUAAGAUUUCUUGAUAAAAGCAAUAAUGAGCAAUAUCAUUUUAAGAGCAAAAUUAGCAAGUCUAUCCAAUUACAUUGUCUGUAUUAUGAAAUUUUAUUUUGGAAAUGUUAAGAAAAAUAUAUAUAUAUGUCUAUGAAUAUUGAUUUUAAAAUUUGUCAAAGCUGUUUAAAUGAUGCUGGUAACUUUGACAAAAUUGAAAGAAAAUGUAUUCUUUUCAUGUAAUGAGACAUGCUUCAGUUUUUUUUUGGCUUAACAUGUAAUAUAGAGGUGGUAGUUACACACAUUGUUUAGACAGGUGGAUAAUUUUAAUGCUAAGGCUUUGAUACUCUUAAGUGUGCCCAUUGGUGUCAGGUGUUUUUGUCAAGCAUCUUGUUUAUUAUCUUAGUAUUUGAAGACAAUAUUGAUUGAUUUUAGACAAAAUCAUUUAAUCUUCCUUAAAUUGUCUAUUCUGUAUUUACUACCAGUUAUUUAUUAAUUUGCUUGAACAUGAUUUAAGAAUGACUUUUUUGUUGCUUAAAAUGCUUUAUAUGUUUUAAAACUGAGCAUUUAAAAACGAAAAUAUAGGAUGUGGGAAUAAUGUCUAAAGUUAUGAUAAUUAUUUUUUGUUUUUGUAAAAUUAAUUAUGCCUUAUAUGUUUGUGUAUAGGCAUUUAGACGACCAGAUUAACCUGACCAAGAAUUCGUGAUCAAUGUGUAUAUCGGUCAGUACAUUUGUCAUUUGUAUAUAGAGCGAUUGCGAAAUGAUUGUAUUGUUAAUGAAAAUCAUGCGUUUAUUGUUGCCAUUUUGAUUUUCGCUGUUAACAUGUAUUUGUACAAACAAUUUUCAUCCUGUACAUCUUUUAGAUGCCAGAUAAUAAAAACAAACAUUGCUUGUGGAGAUGCUCAUUUAAAACUUUCUUAAUGAUACAGAACAACACAGUCUGAAGAGGCAAAUAAAUUAUGCUUUAGGCAAAAGGAACAUCUUGUUACUAGUAUAUGUACUGCUUUUCAUUAGAUAAAGUCAACCAACUAUUGAAAGAUUGGUUUAACUUUGUUUUGCAUUAUCUUAAGAAAAAAUAAUAUAUUCUACUUGGAAAUCAGUCAAUUGCAAAUCAAGUGAGAGUGGUUUAACAUGCUUACACUUGUCAAUAAUUGAAUUGUCUCUCUUUGUACGUAAGAUAUAGGGAUGUUGUUGCUUGAAAAACAAAGUUGUAUCCGUUGUUAGAUAAUGCUUUUGUUCAUCUCUCAACAUAACAAGUACAUUCAUACAGUUAUUAAAAAUAUGACACUCUUAAUUCUCAGCCAUCAGUUUGUAUUGGGAAUUUGUGGAAUACUUACUAAACUAAUAUACGUCUGUUUAAUGAAUUAAUAGCUAUGGUACAAUAUGAUACUCAUUGUUACAAAACAUGUGUAAUAAAAAUAUAAUGUCAUUUAUUUCAAAUCAUAAAAUUUAGUUGUCCAUACAAUGCUUACAGUUUUGCAAUUGCGACGAUAAAGGAAAUGUUCUGCUCAAAAUGUCUUUUUAAGACAUGUGAAAAUUGUAGCAAUCAUAUUGUACUUGUAUUUAUAUUAUACAUUAUAAGAAUUUACUUACAACUGAUUAUAGCGGCAGUUUACUAUUUGUGUUACAGUUUGUUCCACUCGACCAUUAGACCAUAUUUCCUUAAAAAUGUGAUUGUUUAUAUUGAACUUAAAUUGAAUGCAUGAAACAUGAUUGUUAUGUUGCUUAACAGCUGAAAAUAGCUUGAUGUUUGUAAAAUUGUAUGAAAUGUUUCAAAUAAAUCAUAUUGAUUACAUAAAAAAAUAUAAUUACAUUUUGCGUUACUUUGAAUGCAUAACAAACAAUUGUUACCAUACAAUCAUAUUAGUAUUGAACUUAAUUAAUACUUUAAGAUGCAAUUUUUACAAUAAUGAGUUAAUAUUGUCAUCCAUUCCAAAUAAGCAUUGUGCAUUUGUAAAUAUAGGGUGUAUAUACACUGCUUAGAUGCCUUUUUUAAAUUGCUUGUGUACGUCAUAUUGAUUAAAGACUCUUAUGUAUUGCAUAUUUGUGUGUGCCUAUGUCUUACUUAUUUCUUCACAGUCCUCAAAUUACUGCAAAUAGAACUUUAAGAAUGUUAAAAUAUUUAUCUAAACUAUAACCAGGUUAUCUGUUAAUUUAAGUUUCAUACAUAAUAUUUAGUGCUAAUAAAUCAGCACUAUUUAUUGAUUUUUUAUAUGGGCACUUCCCAUGACUUAAUUCGUGAAUAUUUCUUUGAAUGUGCGGUAGGGAAAACAUUGUUUGCUUGAAGGUGAGAAACUUUAUGUUGACAUCUUGAAAGAUGGCAGUAAACAUUUAACUGCAGAGUAGCUGGGAAAAAGAUUGAUGUUAAACAAUGUAAGACAGAACUCCACGCAAGAUAUGUCAUGCAUGCGAUAUGCAUGAACUAUCUCAAAAUAAUUUGGAUCUGAAUUAUCUUUAAGAAAUGGUAUGGUUAUGAGGGUCUCUAUGUGCAAAAUGUUGCAUUUAUUAAGUGUACAAGUUAUUGCUUAAACAUUGAAUUUGUUAUGGAAAUAAUAUAGUUUAUGUGACUUAAAGAGAUAUACAUGUUUAUGUUAGUGAUGUGUUUUUGCUGAUCCAAGUCUGUUCCUACACACUAUUUAAAGUAGAUAACUACAAGUUAUCUCAUUUAAAUGGGAAAAGUAUUGUACUGUAAAAAAGUGUUGUGAGUUCAAAUAAAAAUACUAUGAACCGUU